UCGGGAGUGGCCUAGAGGACGGGCAGCUGGUUACGAACCAGCCCGACGGGGGUUCGAAUCCCUCCUCCCGAG
rnacentral:tRNA from 1 species